rnacentral:rRNA from 1 species
AGUGGCACAUACACUUUAACCCGUAGAUUUCCGAAUGGGGAAACCUAAUAGAUUGAAGAUCUAUUACACCGAAAGGUGUGCAAACCCGGAGAACUGAAACAUCUAAGUACCCGGAGGAGAAGAAAACAAUUGUGAUUCCAUUAGUAGUGGCGAGCGAAAGUGGAUUAGCCCAAACUAUUUAUGUUUAGGCAUAAAUAGGGUUGUAGGACCACAAUAUUUGAUGCUUUAUGAACUUGAAUCUACUGGAAAGUAGAACCAUAGAGGGUGACAGUCCCGUAAAGGUAAAGAGAGUUAUCAAUAGUGGUAUCCUGAGUAGUGCGGGGCACGUGAAACCUUGCAUGAAUUUGCCAGGACCAUCUGGUAAGGCUAAAUACUCCUGAGAGACCGAUAGUGAACUAGUACCGUGAGGGAAAGGUGAAAAGAACCCUGAAUAAGGGAGUGAAAUAGAACAUGAAACCAUAUGCUUACAAGCGGUCGGAGCCUUUUUGAGGUGACGGCGUGCCUUUUGCAUAAUGAGCCUACGAGUUACCGUUGCUAGCAAGGUUAAUUCAUUCAGUGAAGGAGCCGUAGCGAAAGCGAGUCUGAAUAGGGCAAUCCAGUUAGCAGUGGUAGACGCGAAACCGUGUGAUCUACCCAUGGGCAGGGUGAAGCUGUGGUAAUACUCAGUGGAGGCCCGAACCCGUUGACGUUGAAAAGUCUUGGGAUGACCUGUGGGUAGGGGUGAAAGGCCAAUCAAACUCGGAAAUAGCUCGUACUCCCCGAAAUGCAUUUAGGUGCAGCGUUGUAUUAGUUUUGUAGAGGUAGAGCUACUGAUUGGAUGCGGGGGUUUCACCACCUACCAAUUUCUGACAAACUCCGAAUGCUACAAAAUGUUGUACAGCAGUGAGGGCAUGGGUGCUAAGGUCCAUGUCCGAGAGGGAAACAACCCGGACCAUCAGCUAAGGUCCCCAAGUGUAUACUAAGUUGAAUAAACGAGGUUUGACUGCCCAGACAGCUAGGAUGUUGGCUUGGAAGCAGCCAUUCAUUUAAAGAGUGCGUAACAGCUCACUAGUCGAGCGGUCGAGCAUGGAUAAUAAUCGGGCAUAAGUAUACCACCGAAGCUAUGGCAUCGUAAGAUGGGUAGGGGAGCAUUCUAUGUGCUUUGAAGGCUUGCCGUGAGGCAUACUGGAGCGCAUGGAAAAGAAAAUGUAGGCAUAAGUAACGACAAUGCGGGCGAGAAACCCGCACACCGAAAGACUCAGGUUUCCUCAGCUAUGCUAAUCAGCUGAGGGUUAGUCAGGACCUAACGCGAACCCGAAAGGGGUAGUGGAUGGACAACCGGUUAAUAUUCCGGUACCUGCCGGCGCUAAAAGUGACGGAGAGGAUUAGCUACUGCGUACUGACGGAAUAGUACGUUGAACCAUUUUUUAAGAAUGGGAUAGUACACCAAGACUUCGGUUGCGGUGAUAAUGUAGCAGCCCCUCUUCCAAGAAAAGCAAGCCAGGCAGCCUGUACCCUAAACCGACACAGGUAGUUGGGAUGAGAAUUCUAAGGUGCUCGAGAGAUUCAUGGCUAAGGAACUAGGCAAAAUGGGCCCGUAACUUCGGGAGAAGGGUCGCCCACAGCAAUGUGGGCCGCAGUGAAUUGGUCCAGGCGACUGUUUAUCAAAAACACAGGACUCUGCUAAAUCGAAAGAUGAUGUAUAGGGUCUGACACCUGCCCGGUGCCGGAAGGUUAAGUGGAAAUGUUAGCUUCGGCAAAGCAUCAAAAUGAAGCCCCGGUAAACGGCGGCCGUAACUAUAACGGUCCUAAGGUAGCGAAAUUCCUUGUCGGGUAAGUUCCGACCUGCACGAAUGGUGUAACGAUCUGGACACUGUCUCAGCCAUGAGCUCGGUGAAAUUGUAGUAUCGGUGAAGAUGCCGAUUACCCGCUACGGGACGAAAAGACCCCGUGCACCUUUACUAUAGCUUCGUAUUGACCUUGGAUAAGUAACGUGUAGGAUAGGUGGGAGACUUUGAAGCAGUAUCGCUAGGUAUUGUGGAGUCAACGUUGAAAUACCACCCU